UCCGAAGAUCUAUGGUUUUCCUGUAGAGUUCCAGCCUUCAUUUUAAGUCUAUGAUCUUCGCGGAGCAGAUGGGCGGACAGCGCAAACAUUCCACCCCCAUUACCUCACCUUCAGCGAACGGGCCGCUGGGAUAGUGGAGGACCCGGGCUUUUCCGCCUGGCUUCAGCUCUCUUUUCAGCCGGCGGCGAGGCUGGGAUUCCUCGUCCGGUAUCACGGUGUAGUUUCCCUCCACUGCCUGCCUUGCCUCACCCCGCCCCGCCGGGACCGCUUCUUCGGUGCUCCCCCGGCCCAUGGCUCCAUGAAGCGCGGGGCGGUAGAGGAGGAGGAGGCGGCGGCGGCGGCGGCGGCGGCGGCGGGGAGGCAAGAGCAGGAGCGGCGGCGCUGGUGGCGGCGGCGGUGGUUGGGGUGAAAGUGACUGGGCAGAGAGCCGUCUCCGGGGCCAGAAAAAGAGAAGGUUUGGGGAACAGGAAUGGGACGUGAGAAAAGAAAAUUCACUCCAGAUAUAAAAUAGUUUCCCCUUUCACCUGCCCACUUACCCCUUGGCAAUAACAAGGUGUCUGCUUUCAGGUUCUACAGUGCUCCAGACAGCAAGUGCUGAAUCAGGAUGGGAAAAAGACGCUGUGUUCCUCCACUUGAGCCCAAGUUGGCAGCAGGCUGUUGUGGGGUAAAGAAACCCAAAUUGUCUGGAAGUGGAACACACAGCCACGGGAAUCAAGCCACAACUGUGCCAGUCUCUAGUUCAGGUCCUCUUCAGAACCACCAGCAUGCAGAUGGGGGCAAUGGAAGGGAAAACGUAUCAGAUUUGACUUUGUGCCCUGGAAACUCUCCAAUUACUCGAAUGAAUCCCACUUCAGGAGCCUUGAGCCCACUCGCCCGGCCUAAUGGAACUGCCAACAACACCAAGAACCUAGUGGUGACAGCGGAGAUGUGCUGCUACUGCUUUGAUGUACUCUACUGUCAUCUUUAUGGUUUCCCUCAGCCACGACUUCCUCGGUUUACCAAUGACCCCUAUCCUCUCUUUGUGACGUGGAAGACAGGGCGAGACAAGCGACUUCGGGGCUGCAUUGGGACUUUCUCUGCCAUGAAUCUUCACUCAGGACUCAGGGAAUACACAUUAACCAGUGCACUUAAAGACAGCAGAUUUCCACCCCUGACCCGUGAGGAGCUGCCUAAACUUUUCUGCUCUGUCUCCCUCCUCACUAAUUUUGAGGAUGCCACUGACUACUUGGACUGGGAGGUGGGAAUCCAUGGAAUCAGAAUUGAGUUCAUCAAUGAGAAAGGUGUCAAACGCACAGCCACAUACUUACCUGAGGUUGCUAAGGAACAAGGUGGGUUUGUGAUUGGGAUCAGAUUCAGACAAUAGACUCCUUACUCAGGAAAGGUGGUUUCAAAGCUCCAAUUACCAAUGACUUUAGAAAAACUAUUAAACUCACCAGGUAUCGCAGUGAGAAGGUGACAAUCAGUUAUGCAGAGUACAUGGCUUCUCGUCAGCAUUGUUUCCAGAAUGGCACUCUUCAUGCCCCGCCCCUCUACAAUCAUUACUCCUGACACAAGGCUGCAUGACCAGUCCCGCCCCCCAGCUGCCACUAACAGCUAUGACAUCAUUGGGGCAGAUGCCUCCUCUUCCUGGUCCAGUUACUUCUAUUACUGCACCAUUUUAUGAUGCUAGCUUCCGUUGCCAAGUCUGCCUUGCAGCUGACUGAGGGGUUGGGGGAAUCUGGUGAGUGCAACUGAACUCCAGGGAGCACAAGUCUUACCUCUUCUUUGCUUCAGAAUUAAGGUUCAGUUGGUUUGCGGCUCCAAGACUAGCAGUUGCAGUUAGGUAGAAAGAAUCUUGAUGAACAGCAGUACCACUUCAGAUUGCUCUCUGUGUUAAAUUGCACUGUGUUUAUUUGAAUUGUUAAUUAUGACAGUCCCCUCGGAUCAAGUUGGAGAGUUCUCCUGGCAGUCUGGGCAACGGAGUCCAACAACAGAUUUUUAGGUUUAUUUUUAAUUUUUUAAAACCUCUGAUAUUUACUUACUAUGAGCUGAUUAGUCUUAACAUAUCCCAGGCAAGCAGAUGACAUGACAUGUUGCAAGGAGGGACUCCUCUUUGUAGAGGUUGGCAAUUGCUCGACGCUUCGAACGGGGAAACAAUUUGCUGCAGAUAAAAUAAUUGCAUAUAGAGAUUUCAGUUCUUGCAUCUAGCCACUUUUGCUUUUAACACAGAAGGGAAGUAGCCCUUAGACAUGGGCCCACAAAUACAUCUGUGAAGGUGUACUAGUUGUUAAUGGGAAUGGCUUAGUUUCUUUUCCUCUCUAGAAUAUGAACUCAUUUUUCUUUGGAGCUGCUCUGGGUACCUAACCUGAACAUUCGCAUCAGGGUCUGCAGUUGGACUGGGGCAAGUCUGUUUCCCACAAAGCCAUUACUACAGUCCUAGAAGGAAAAUACAUAAAAAUUGUUUAAAGGAAGUAUUCAGUGGAGACUGUUUAACAGGCAGCAGCUUUCUCCAUCAAGAUUCUGAUAUCCAGAUAAAGAAAUAUGGUAAAUAUUGGCCUUUAAGUUGCUAUCUAAUACAGCCAUGCUACUGCUUUAGUCCUAAAUCCAUGCUCUUGGACAUAAAUGAAAUUGGUUUAAAUUGAACUUGCUUCUAAGUAAAUAUACUUAGAACUGGGACCUGAGGAAUGUUUGGCUGCCAAAAAAAAUCUGUUAACUCCUAUUCACUUUUUACUAUCCUAUAGAUUUUUUGUUCUUUUCCCCUUAUUGCUAAAAAUACCCAGAACACCCAAGUAGUAAAUGAAUUGCACCCUUUUCUGUUCACCCUCCUGGGUCUGUUGUGUGAGUUGCUGAAUGAUGUCAUGAAUGCAGCUGGCAUUAUGACUCUUCCUAAAUGAAUCCACAGGAACUAUGGAAUGAUAAUGCAGGACUUCUGAAUGUCUUGAUCAUUUGAUGGGCAAAGAAAACCCUAAAAAAGCAUAGUAUAAUGAUUUUUUUACCAUGUGUGUAGUAAAAAUAGCUUUUAUAGAUGGCUGAUUAGAGGGCAUUUAUUGAGCAUUCUCUUGGAUUGAGAUGUAGGUCUUCAAUCUCUAGGUUUAAUAAACAUUGCCCUGGAAAGGCAAAGUGUCAAGAGCUGCCUGAACAAAUGUUGAAUCAUUGAUGUAUAAAUAGACAAUGAAUAGCCCAUAGUAGUAAAUAAUAUUUAUUAUUAUCUGGCUUGAUUGCACAAAGAAAAAGGGAAGAUAGCAAUCUGAUACCAUCUUCCUUGCAACAGACAGUUCACAAUCUAGAAUGUCUCCAAAAGUGCCAGUCUAAGUGGAGUUACAUCCUUCUAAGCCUGUUGAUAUCAGUGGACUAGAAGGAUGUAAGUAUGCUUAGGAUGACACAGAAAAUCACAACUUUGAGCACUACUGUUCCUUACAUUGCCCCAGAAGAGAAAAGAACCUCAUUUGCCAAUGAAAAUUUACCUAGUUGUGAAAUGUGGAAAGGCACUCAUCCCAGAUAAUCUGCAGAACCAACAGCUUUAGAUUUGUAUUUUGCGUGGAUUGCCACUUUCCCUUUCUGAUGAUGUUGAACUGUGUUCGGAUAUGAAGGGACUGUUCCAUGAUUUCCUGCUUCUGAGAAUAAAUCAGCCUUGUUACAAAUUAGAGUGAUUUUUGUAUUACUAUCCAAGCUGCCCUGGACUGAUAGGAAACUGUAGAGGGGAGAGGUGGGUUCAGCUCUGGUCAUACCAUCCAUCUCUGCUCUCAGACAGUAUUGAAACAUAGGGCUACACUAAUUACUAUUCAAGUGUUCUAUGUUAGAAUUUAAAUUGUAAAGAUUUUUUUAAAGCAAAAAUGAAAAAAUAAUAAAUGGUGCUAAACUUUCACCCCUGAGCACAUUCGGUGAGACUGGUCAUGCAGGCAUAUAGUGCCAGGCUAUUCAAUCCUGCUUUCUAUUUCCUUUUCAAAUGUUUGCCCUGUUAUGUGUCUUCAGCAGUGUAAUAGUGUUAAUCAAUUUAAUUUUAAAGGGGGGAGGGAGUUUAGGAGCGGGGGUGGGGUGGGGCUUUGCUGCCAUUCUAAAGAACAGACUUUUAGGAGUGUCUUGACCUAUUUGGUUUAAUUUUACCAUUACACUGAUGUAAGUUAAAUUGGUUUGGGAGUGAGAGAUGGUCUCAUUUCUUGUCCCUGUUUUCAUCCCAAUCAACCACUCUCAUGUAAAUGGAAAUGCCUCUGUUAAAAUUGGAUUAUGGUGUUUUCUUGUAGUAAGCAGCACAGCAACCAGGCCACGAAGCACUCAUGAGUUCUCUGAGGAAAAGGGCCUAUUCAGCAUUGGUCUCACACAGAGUCCGGUUACAAAGCAACUGAAGAAGUCAAGUGUUCCUGCAAAAUGUAUAGGAGGGAUAGGCUGUCCUCAAAGAGAGCCCCCCCUUCUGUAUCACACAUAGCAGUAGUGCAUGGAAUUGAGCCCAAACUGAAAUGUACUGCAUUUCAGUUGACUAACUGGCAUUUUUUCAAAAGUUGUGGGAAUCAAUAAAAUACCCAAAAGAUAAUCACCUUUUCUAGAGUUCUAGUCUGUUGUUUUCCUCAGCUGAAUAGGCGGUAAUCUAAUCAUGUGAAGACCUUAGCAAUAGCCUUGUGGUCUGACUGGGAACUGGCUCAUCCUUAGCUACAAGUAAGUGCCUUUUGGUCUUAAUGGGCUUAUUUCUGGAAAUCUGUGGUUGGGAAUCUCCCUUGUUACAGCCAUGUAUGUCUAGUUAUUUUGGGGAGGUGUUUCCCAGUUAAAACAAGGACUGUCUUUGAUCACUGUUGUCUAUUCAUUAUUUGAUGUCCCUUGGUAGUGUUCCCUUUUUAUAAUGACUAACAGCCAAUCUCAAUAGAGGCAUUCCAAUGUGAAAGAUUUUAAGGUCAAACUAUCAUACCUGCAGAUAACAGGUUGGAUCAUGCAGAUCUAUUCCACUAACCAUAGCGCCUUCUUCUGCUGCAAGGUUCCUUUCUCUGAUGCAAGAACUUCUUUCAGUAGCCACUUUUGUCAGAGAAAGGGAUUUCUGCUAGAAAAAUGUGCUGCUGUUAGCAGAAUGGAUUCACAGGACCUAACCCAUCACAUCUAUUGAUAAGGGCAAAGUAUUCUGUAAAUUUUAAUAUUUAGGAGUUAUUGAAUUUCACAUUUGUUUUCCCUAAUUCAUCUUACCAUCAGUCUUCACUGACUGUUUUCUGUUCUGUUUUUUAGAGCCAAAAUGGUUAAGGUUUGGUUAACUUGAGUUUAUUUCUUUUUAAAGCAAGGAACCUCCUUUACCUUCAAUGCAAAGAUGUCAGACCAAUUCUUUGUUAUUACACUUGGUUGCCUCCUAGCUAUAUAACUUCUGAGUGUAAAUCAUUGAACUUUACCCUCUAAUGAAGUAUUGUAGAAAAUAAAUUGUAAUGGAUACA